CACCCCCCAACACGUUGCCUUGAUUGCUCGAACGACGACCCAAAAACUAGCCCCGUUGCCUUGAUUCCUCGAACAUGUUGCCUUACUUUGUCGAACGAUGACCUGAUGAUGAGCAUCGUUGCCUAGAUUCGUUGAACGACGACCUUGGUUGCCUUGAUCUUUUGAAUGAUGACCUAAAAACUAGCUUCUUGGAGAACCGGGGAGCUAUCCACGUUUCCCUGAUUGCUCGAAUUAGGACCCAAAAACUAGCCUUGUUGCCAUGAUUCCUCGAACAUGUUGCUUUAAUUUGUCGAACGAUGACCUGAUGAGUAGCAUUGUGGCUUAGAUUUCUUGAACGACGACCUUGAAACUAGCCGUGUUGCCUUGUUUUCUUGAGCUUGUUGGCUUGAUUUUUUGAACGUUGACCUGAAAACUAGCCUCAUGGAAAACCGAGAAGCUAUCCACGUUGCCUUGAUUUCUCGAAUUACGACACAAAAACUAGCCUUGUUGCCUUGAUUCCUCGAACAUGUUGCGUAAAUUUGUCGAAUGAUGACAUGAUGACUAGUAUUGUUGCUUAGAUUUCUUGGACGACUAUGAAACUAGCCGAGGUUUCCAUGUUUUCUUGAGCUUGUUGCCUUGGGUUUUUGAACGAUGACCUGAAAACGAGCCUCUUGGAGAACCGGGGAGCUAUCCUCGUUGCCUUGAUUGCUCGAAUUACGACCCAAAAACUAGCCUUGUUUCCUUGAUUCCUCGAACAUGUUGCUUAAUUUGUCGAACAAUGACCUGAUGACUAGCGUUGUUGCUUAGAUUUCUUGAAGGACGACCUUAAAACUAGCUCUGUUGCCUUGUUUUCUUGAGUUUGUUGCCUUGAUUUUUUUAACGAUGACCUCAAAACUAGCCUCUUGGGGGUACCAUAGAGACGAAGAAACCACCGAGCUUUGACAAGGCAAGCCACAGGACCCAUGAAAGAAGCCCACCCCAAUAUGUUGCCUUGGUUGCUCGAACGACGACCAGAAAAGAUGCCACAUUGCCUUGAUUACUCGAACUUGUUGAAUUAUUUUUUCGAACGAUGGCCUGAUGACAAGCCCUGUUGCCUAGAUUUAUCGAACGAUGGCCCUGAAAGAUGCCUCCCCCAACACGUUGCCUUGUUAACUAGUUCCAUGUUGCCUUGAUUUCUCCAACACGUUGCCUUGACAUGUCGAACGAUGUCCUGAAAACUAGCCCCAUUCUCUUUAUUUCUUGAACAACGACCUGGAAAGUAGCCUCGUUACCUUGAUUGCUGGAACACGUUGCCUUGAUAUCACUAACGACGACCUGCAAAACAAGCAUGGUUGCCUUGAAUACUGGAACACAUUGCCUAGAAAACUUGCCUUGAUGACCUGAAAACUAGCCUUUUGUGGCCUUGGUUUCAUGAACGAUGACCUGAAAACUAGCCACGAUGGCCUGGAAACUAGCCACGAUGCCUUGAUUUUCCCCGACGUCGUGUGCAUACGAAAAAUUAUGCAUCCUCAGGGAAAUCAAUGUCUGUUCCUGUCACCAAGCUCUUUGUGCAAUAUGUAUAUAUAGGGGAGGGCAUGGUUGCUGAAUCCAUCAUCGAGCAUCGUAAAGGCAAGCCUUAAGACCCGUGAAAGAGCCCUCCCCCAACACGUUGCCUUGAUUGCUAGAACGACGACCCAAAAACUAGCCGCGUUGCCUUGAUUCCUCGAACAUGUUUCCUUGAUUUGUGGAACGAUGACCGGAUGACUAGAAGCGUUGCCUAGAUUUGUCAAACGACGACCUUGAAACUAGCCCGGUUGCCUUGAUUCCUUCAGCAUGUUGCCUUGAUUUUUUGAACGAUGACCUGAAAACUAGCCUAAUGGAAAACAUGGGUGCUAUUCCUCAUUGCCUAGAUGUAUAUAUUUGGGGGGACCAUAGAGAUGAAGCAACCAUCUAGCACCAAUGAGGCAAGCCCUAAGACCCGUGAAGGAGCCCACCCCCAACGCGUUGCCUUGAUUGCUCGAAAGACGAGCCAAAAACUAGCCCCGUUGCCUUGAUUCCUCGAACGUGUUGCCUUAAUUUGUCGAACGAUGACCUGAUGACUAACAUUGUUGCCUAGAUUUGUCGAAUGACGACCAUGAAACUAGUCCUGUUGCCUUGGUUCCUUGAGCUUGUUGCCUUGAUUUUUUGAAUGAUGACCUGAAAACUAUCCUAAUGGACAACUUGUGGGCUAUUCCUUAUUGCAUUGACGUAUAUAUUGGGGGGGGACCAUAAAGACGAAGCAACCAUCGAGCACCAACAAGGCAAGCCCUUAGACCCUUGAAGGAGCCCGCCCCCCAAAGUGUUGCCUUGAUUGCUCGAACGACGAGCCAAAAACUAGCCCCAUUGCCUUGAUUCCUCGAACGUCUUGCCUUAUUGGUCGAUCGAUGACCUGAUGACUAACAUGGUUGCCUAGAUUUUUCGAACGAUGACCUUGAAGCUAGUCUUCUUGCCUUGAUUCCUUGAGCUGGUUGCCUUGAUUCCUCGAACAUGUUGCCUUACUUUGUCGAACGAUGAGUUGAUGAUGAGCAUCAUUGCCUAGAUUCGUUGAACGACGACCUUGGUUGCCUUGAUCUUUUGAAUGAUGACUUGAAAACUAGCUUCAUGGAGAACCGGGGAGCUCUCCGCGUUGCCCUGAUUGCUCGAAUUAGGACCCAAAAACUAGCCUUGUUGCCAUGAUUCCUCGAACAUGUUGCUUUAAUUUGUCGAACGAUGACCUGAUGACUAGCAUUGUGGCUUAGAUUUCUUGAACGACGACCUUGAAAGUAGCCGUGUUGCCUUGUUUUCUUGAGCUUGUUGGCUUGAUUUUUUGAACGUUGACCUGAAAACUAGCCUCUUGGAAAACCGAGAAGCUAUCCACGUUGCCUUGAUUUCUCGAAUUACGACUCAAAAACUAGCCUUGUUGGCUUGAUUCCUCGAACAUGUUGCAUAAAUUUGUCGAAUGAUGACAUGAUGACUAGUAUUGUUGCUUAGAUUUCUUGUACGACUAUGUAACUAGCCGAGGUUUCCAUGUUUUCUUGAGCUUGUUGCCUUGGGUUUUUGAACGAUGACCUCAAAACUAGCCUCUUGGGGUACCAUAGAGACGAAGAAACCACCGAGCUCUGACAAGGCAAGCCACAGGACCCAUGAAAGAAGCCCACCCCCAAUAUGUUGCCUUGGUUGCUCGAACGACGACCAGAAAAGAUGCCACGUUGCCUUGAUUUCUCGAAUUACGACUCAAAAACUAGCCUUGUUGGCUUGAUUUUUUGAACGAUGACCUCAAAACUAGCCUCUUGGGGUACCAUAGAGACGAAGAAACCACCGAGCUCUGACAAGGCAAGCCACAGGACCCAUGAAAGAAGCCCACCCCCAAUAUGUUGCCUUGGUUGCUCGAACGACGACCAGAAAAGAUGCCACGUUGCCUUGAUUACUCGAACUUGUUGAAUUAUUUUUUCGAACGAUGGCCUGAUGACAAGCCCUGUUGCCUAGAUUUAUCGAACGAUGGCCCUGAAAGAUGCCUCCCCCAACACGUUGCCUUGUUAACUAGUUCCAUGUUGCCUUGAUUUCUCCAACACGUUGCCUUGACAUGUCGAACGAUGUCCUGAAAACUAGCCCCGUUCUCUUUAUUUCUUGAACAACG
rnacentral:lncRNA from 1 species